GUGCCAGCAGCCGCGGUAAUACGGAGGGUCCGAGCGUUAUCCGGAAUCAUUGGGUUUAAAGGGUCCGUAGGCGGGACAUUAAGUCAGGGGUGAAAGGUUACAGCUCAACUGUAGAAUUGCCUUUGAUACUGGUGUUCUUGAGUUAUGUUGCUGUGGUCGGAACAUGUGGUGUAGCGGUGAAAUGCAUAGAUAUCACAUAGAACGCCGAUUGCGAAGGCAGGUCACAAAACAUAUACUGACGCUGAGGGACGAAAGCGUGGGGAGCGAACGGGAUUAGAUACCCCGGUAGUCCACGCCGUAAACGAUGGAUACUAGCUGUUGGGCCUUAGGCUCGGUGGCUAAGCGAAAGUGAUAAGUAUCCCACCUGGGGAGUACGUUCGCAAGAAUGAAACUCAAAUGAAUUGACGG
rnacentral:rRNA from 1 species